AGGUUAAGAGAAGGAGGAGGAGGAGGAGGAGGUUAGGGGGGGGAAAGGAAAGGAGGAAGAGGAGGAAGAGGUUAGGAAGAAGAAGAGAAGGUUAAGAGGGAGAGGAGAAGGGGAGGAGGAGGAAGAGGAGGAGGUGGAGGAGAAGAAUAAAGGAGGGGAGGAAGAGAAGGAGGAGGAGGAUAGAAGGAAGAGGAGGAGGAGGAAGAAGAGGAAGAAGAAGAGGAGCAUUCGACAUAUAAAAUUGCAACGAUUAUGAUUGACAUGUCCAAAUCGAAAUCACAUCCCUCAUCCACCUUUUACCUCCACGCCUCCACUUUCUCUCCACCCAGCCGCCUCCCCGCCCCCUGUCCUCCUCCAGCGAUGACUCGGGCAAAAUUAAAAUCACACCAGGAAAUAAAAAUAGAAAUUAAAUAUAAAAA